UAAUUUGGUGGAAUCUAUAACAAACACCCCCACUCACCCACCCAAUCUCUCUCUCUACAAUUCACAUUUGUCUGUUAUAUGCCACCGUCUGGUCGGCAACAAGCCCUUCUAGUCAGUCACUAUAACAAACACCCCCACUCACCCACCCAAUCUCUCUCUCUCUACAAUUCAUAUUUCUUCUUGCUUUAAUGGACCUUCAGUUUUAAUUGCUCUGUUUCUUUGUUUGUCUGUCAAGAAUUCAUCUUUAUGAUUGAUGAUUAAUGUGAUGGAUCAUGUGAACAAACCCAUGAACGAAGUGGACAGAAGCUUAGCUGACUCAGCAGCAGCUUCGGUUUGGCUAGAGCUGACAGUGGUGGUUGUGGUGGUGGUGGUGGCUGGAGGUGGCAGUCGUUGGAGAAGAUGACCGGAGUUGCAGGUUUCCGGUGACGGAAGUAGUGGUGGUGUUAUAUAUGAAAGGGAUAUUAAGUUGUGGUGGUGGCUGGAGGUGGCAGUGGUGGUUGUGGUGGUGAAUGGCGGUGGCAGUGGUGGCAGGGGGUAAUAUCACAGAGUGCACAAAACACAGGGGGUAAAUAUGAAAGGGCAUUAUAGUCAUUUCAAGUUAUAGUCAACAGAUUAGUCAACAAAUUUGAGGCCGGGGGGGGGGGGGUAAGGUUGCAACAUAACAGCAAACAGUGG
rnacentral:lncRNA from 1 species